AUCUUGUUAUGUGUUUUUCUAGAGUCAGGGCAAUCCUGUCACACCAGUCCCCCCACCAACCUGUCAGAGAAUCAAUGUGCCUCUCUGUGCCAACCUGCCAUAUACUGAAACCAUCAUGCCAAAUAUGCUGGGCCACAAAUCCCAGGAUGAAGCUGCCACCGCGAUACGACAGUUUUCUUCACUUGUUAGAGGACAAUGCUCCUCUCAUCUGAAGCCAUUCCUGUGCUCUGUCUACACGCCCAAAUGUGUGUCAGGAAGAGCACAGCCUCCAUGCAGAAGUCUGUGUGAGAAAGCAAAGUCUGAGUGUGCGACAUCGAUGACGAACCUCCGCUUUCAGUGGCCUGAAGCCUUAAAGUGUGAAGCAUUCACCACAGAGUCCUGUGAGGAGGGUCAGGAUGUCUCAGUCGCACCAACUCUUCCAACGCCAACCUGUCAGAGAAUCACAAUGAGUCUCUGUGCCGACCUGCCUUACAAUGACACCAUCAUGCCAAAUAUUCUGGGACACAAAUCCCAGGAUGAAGCUGGUUCAGCAGUAUUUCAAUUUCUUCCACUUGUUGGAACGAAAUGCUCCCCUCAUCUGAAGCCCUUCCUUUGCUCUGUCUACACGCCUAAAUGUGUUUCAGGAAGCCGUCAGGCUCCCUGCAGAGCUCUCUGUGAGCAGGCACGCUCUGGCUGUUUGCCAAUAUUGACAAUUAUUGGCUUUCAAUGGCCUCAGCAUCUAAAAUGUGAAGAGUUUACCUUGGAGUCCUGUGAAUAGGACUUUGCAAUUUCGUAAGUCAUGAAUAUCAGACCAGUGCUAAAAUUCUGCCUCUUUGGUGAUAGCUUUAUGGUCUUAGCUGUAAUUGCAAAUAGAGCAACAUAACAAUUAUUUGAUAAACAUUGAUCACCACAUAUAUAAUGAGACCAGUUUGCUUCAAGUUUUGCAUUAAAGACCUACUAUAA